CGGGGAGACCUGCCUGAGGGACCCAGGUCCCGCGCGCCAGGGGGCCUGGUGUGGCGGGCCUGGAGGGUGAAGGGCGAGCGACCCGAGCCCACAGCCUGGCGGCAGGGGACGCCCCUGGCCAUUGGCGGUCAGGGCGAGGUGCGGCCCUGCGGGGUCUCGCCCAGGCUCCAGGGCCCUUGGGGUCCCGGAGGGUCCAGCAGAAGGGUCUGUGUUUUGCCCGGGGUCCUGAGAGCGUGCUGGGGAUAGCAGGGGUGGAGUGCAGGUGUGCCCAUGGGCGCCCCGGGUCCAGGGCCCGCGGAGCCGCUCUCGGGGCGGAGACCUUGCCCCCAGGGGCACGUCAGCGGUCCUGAGGUGAGGCUCCUGCAGAGCACUCUGGGCCGCGUGUGUCUCUCCCUGCGUGGGCAGGCAGUGUCGGUGGCCGGAGCGAGGGUGUUUUCCCAUCGGGGUGAGAGGGAGAGCCCCAGGGUGGGCCUGGGGGCGGAAUCGGACUCGGGGUUGGGGUGGACUCUUCUGAAGCUGGGAGGGGUGCGGGUGGGCAGGGCCUUAGGGAGCCUGAGGGAGGCGCGGUUCCUGGUGUGGCGAGGCGGCGGCAGCCCGCGUGCGCUGUGGCGCCCCAGCGAAGGGGCAGUGCUGGCCACUCGUGUGGCCCUUUGGCUGCUGGCACCCAGUGAGAGGGGGGAGGCCAGGGACAGGUGGCAGCCAGGCUGCCCACAGGCCCUGGGCGGUGGGGGCCCGGCCCCUGUGCCUUGGGCAGCCUGGCCCCUUGCUGAGGCGUGCUUGCGCGUGUCCGUUGUCGCCCUCACCCAGCUGCUGCGGCGGAGAAACGGAGGCCAGCGCGGGGAGCGGAAGCCGGAGCCUGUCGGGAGCGACCCCGGGAAGGCCAGUCCCUCCUGCCGGAGGGAGGCGUGUUGGCGUGCGGCCGGUGGCGGGAUCGAUGGCCACCUGGUAGGCGAUGCUGCUGCGGCGGAGAAACGGAGGCCAGCGCGGGGAGCGGAAGCCGGAGCCUGUCGGGAGCGACCCCGGGAAGGCCAGUCCCUCCUGCCGGAGGGAGGCGUGUUGGCGUGCGGCCGGUGGCGGGAUCGAUGGCCACCUGGUAGGCGAUGGUAAGCGGCAGUGGCCUGCGCCAAGGUAGCCCUGGGGGGCGGUGUGUGGCGCCCGGACCCGCACCCUCUGCUCCCGGGGGUGGAGCUGACCUGCUUGCCCGCGGUUGGGCUCGGGAGCCUGCGGGCGCGCGGCCAGGAGGAGCUGGCUGGCCGUCCGGCGGUGGGGGCUGUGGCGGUGGCCGUCCCGCGGGUGUGCCCGUGCUCGGAUCGAUGAUGACACCCAAAACGCAUUCCUUGGAAAAUCUGAACAAAAUGAGUGAGAACUCACUACCGUCUCCUCAUCGCAAACUGAGGUCCGGCACGUGGCUCCCACAGGGGACGUCGGGGGAGGGUCCCGUUGCCUUGGCUCCCUUGGGUGCGUGCAGCCCUGGGGCGCAGGUGGGGGCAGGCAGGCCUCCGGUGGCCCGGAGGGCCAUGGGGAGAGGAGCCUUGGGGCUGGCCUCCUCGAGGGCAGCCCCGGGGCCCCGGGGCCCCGGUGCCCGGCGGGAAAGCCUUGGGAGUGGCAGGCCCAGUGUGGGGUGGGCUGCCUGCGGUGUGUGUGAGCGCCGCUGGGCUCUCAGGCCUGCGGCUGCCUCCGUGAGGCCUCCGCGGGGUCCUGCCCGCGGUGUCGGGCGCAGAGGGUGUCUGUAGGUUGCGGGUGAGCAGCGGGGGCCUUGGCCUCGGCGGGACUGCCGACCCAGGUUCUGGUGGGGAGAGAGGAGGCCGGCCGGGGGCCUUGCCGAGAUGGCCGUUUGGGCGGGGUCGGACGCCUUGGCCUGGGCCUUCACGGGGUCGGCGGGGCUGCCAGUGCCUUUCCCUCGCAGAGUCCUUGGUGGUCAUCGAGAACCCUGGAGCCCCUGCGGCAUUUCCCAGAGACGUGGAGGCGGUGGGGCGCCAGGUGGCCCUGGGCGGUGCCGAGUCGGCCGCGGACUGGGGUCGAGAGAAGUGCAGGAGGGCCAGAGGUCCUGGGCCAGUGUGCGCAGAGCACCGUGAGGGGGAGUGUUGGGUGCCCGGGGCGGCAGUGC
rnacentral:lncRNA from 1 species